GCCAGAGUCUUAGUCUUGAAGGGCUCUGCCUGAGCUGUCUGCCUUUCGUGGCCCCACCGGACCCUGAUUUUGCUGCUUCUCUUCGUGGUCCAGUGUCAUUCCUCAACUCCCAUCAUUGACCCCACUUCCUCGGCCAGUUAAUGACCAAAGUCCAUGCUGCAUUUGUCCUCCCGGUGUCCUCGCCUGUAACAGGAGGCUACCAACACUUUACUGGGCUGUGGACAAGGUGUGAGAAUAUGAGCCUCGGGCCUGAAGAAAAUCCAUUUCCUUUGCCCUCAACACACUGUGGCAGAAGAGGCAGCCAGAGCCCUCAUCCUCCUACAUCUUCAAUAUUGAAAAAGGGCCUAGAACAGCACCUGGCCUAUAAACAUUUGUCGAUGGAAGGGAGGGAGGAAGCUGUACCAGCCAUGUGACUGUCACUCAGCAUUUUCCCAGCGGCAUCUGUUACCCGAGUCCCGGGUGCCAGCUUCUUCCAGGCCUGGGCUGGUGCCUGGCAUCGAGGCUGUGUCAGAGGCAGAACUGCCCAUCAGUGUGACGCGUAACAGGGGCUGGUUUGAGAGGCAGGCGGUAUAUGACAUGGAAACCAGGAGCUCUAGAGUCAGACGGACCUGAGUUCAAAUCUUGCCUCUAGCACCGACUGGCACUGCAGCCUCGUCAAGUCACUCCACGUCCUGAGCCUCGGGUCCCUGUUGGCAAAGUGCAGUGACAGUGGCCUCCUUGCACCCUUGCUGGGGAUGGAGGCCAUCAGGAAUGUAAAGCGACUGGACAGGGUGCAUGGACAUGGAGGCACAGGGGCUAAGGAAGUGGCACAAAGAGGAUGGAUUCACACUGUGCCAGGGUAGAAGGGGGCUGGGAGAGGCUUCUGGGAGGAGGUGGGGCUCGGACUUGAGCUUGAGGCGUCCCCCGGGAGACGAGGUGGAAGACAGCACUGCAGCCAGAGCCCAAGCACAGGCACUGGGGCCAGAGUGCCUGGGUUCGACUUCUAGCCCUGUCGUGGGCCAGCUGUGUGACCUUGGGCGCUUUGCUUAAACUUGCAGUGCAUCUGUGUCCUGAUUUGUAAAAUGGAGAUUUCGUCUAGCGAGCGCUCAGAGAAUGUCAGUGGUAGAGUUCCUGCUAUGGCGAA